AUACAGUUUUGGUCCUAGACUUGUUGCUAUUUAUAAUCAAAAUUACACAUGCAAGUAUCCGCACCCCAGUGAGAAUGCCCACUUAUAUAAGGAGCUGGUAUCAGGCACGACCCGUCAGCCCAAAACACCUUGCUAUGCCACACCCACAAGGGUUAUCAGCAGUGAUAGAUAUUAAGCAAUGAGCAAAACAAUACUCAAGCUCGACUUAGUUAUGAUUUAAUGGGCCGGUCAAUCUCGUGCCAGCCACCGCGGUUAUACAAGAGGCCCAAAAUAGCCAAAUAACGGCGUAAAUAGUGGCUAGAACAUGUUAAUAUCAAAAUAACAAACCAUGUCCCAAUAGUAAAAUAUGAGACAAAAGAACACCAUAAUUUUGUUAAAACAACAAUUUGACCCCACGAAAACUAAGAAACAAACUAGGAUUAGAUACCCUACUAUGCUUAGCUGUAAACAAGAUAUUUUAAUUACAAAAGUAUCCGCCAGAAAAUUACAAGCGAAAAGCUUAAAACCCAAAGGACUUGGCGGUGCUCUAUACCCACUUAGAGGAGCCUGUCCUAUAAUUGAUACUCCACAAUAAACCUUUCCCUCUCUUGCCACCCACAGCCUAUAUACCGCCGUCGUAAACCUACCCUAUGAAGGACCAACAGUAGGUGUAACAGCCCUUAGCUAAAACGUCAGGUCAAGGCGUAGCUCAUAAGAGGGAAGAGAUGGGCUACAUUUUUUAACAUAAACCAAACGGCAAAGUACUAUGAAACUAGUACUAUAAGGUGGAUUUAAUAGUAAGGUUAACAAGAAAAUUAACCUUAAACCUGCCCUGGAGCGCGCACACACCGCCCGUCACCCUCCUCAACACACCAUUAUUUAUAUAUAUAUAAUUUAAACACUAAUAAAAGAUGAGG
rnacentral:ncRNA from 1 species